rnacentral:RNase_P_RNA from 1 species
AAUGUAAGUCGAUCUAUCGCCGUUUUUUUUUAUAAAAAAGGGAGGAAAGUCCGGGCAACAUAGUGCAUCUCGCUUCCUAACGGGAAGGGAUUUAGGAAUGAAUACCUGAAUUACGGAAAGUGCCACAGAAAGUAUACCGCCUCUUAGAGGUAAGGGUGAAAGCGUGAGGUAAGAGCUCCCGAUUUUCUCGAGUGAUCGAGAUCAUGGUAAACCCCGAGAGUUGAAAGACCAAAUAGGCUAGCUAUUCUUGUUAUCAAGAUAGAAGGUGGCACGCCUUCAGUUAGUGGGUAGGUCGUUUGAGUUUAUUGGCAACAAUAUCCCUAGAUUAAUGAUAGAAAUUUGCUUUGCAAAUACAGAACCCGGCUUAUAGACUUACAUUUUAU